rnacentral:rRNA from 1 species
AUUGAACGCUGGCGGCAGGCCUAACACAUGCAAGUCGAACGGAGUGGAGAACGGGUGAGUAACACGUGGGUGACCUGCCCUGCACUUCGGGAUAAGCCUGGGAAACUGGGUCUAAUACCGGAUAGUGUGGGAUGGGCCCGCUGACUAUCAGCUUGUUGGUGGGGUAAUGGCCUACCAAGGCGGCGACGGGUAGCCGGCCUGAGAGGGUGGACGGCCACAUUGGGACUGAGACACGGCCCAGACUCCUACGGGAGGCAGCAGUGGGGAAUAUUGCACAAUGGGCGGAAGGCUGAUGCAGCGACGCCGCGUGGGGGAUGACGGCCUUCGGGGUGUAAACUCCUUUCACCAUCGACGCGGUAGAUGGAGAAGAAGCACCGGCUAACUACGUGCCAGCAGCCGCGGUAAUAC